UCUUUUUCUUCUUCUUCUUCUUCUUCUUCUUCUGCAUCUUCUUUCCUUCUCUGUUUCUUUUCUCUGAUAAUCUAUGAGCCAUGCAUGAGGAAUCUGUGAUAGAAUCAAGAGUAGAAAUAUCAAGGUUGGGUUUCUGGUCGUGGUGUUACGGUUGAUUGAGAACAGGAGGAUGGUGAUAAGGUUGUUGCUGUUAAUCGAAGUUAGGGUUUAUAGUUUUGAUUAAUGAUUUGAAGACGUUGAAGAUGAAUAAUAGAGCUGUCGGUAGAUGAAGAAGCAAGGGUUGAAGUUUAAUUACAGUUCCGAGGUUGUUUUGGGGAUGAAUUAAAGAAUUAGGGUUUCGUUCAAAAUUCAGAGAACAAUUGAAAGAUGAGAUUGAUGAUCUAGGAGGAUGAUUAGACAGGGGUUUUGAGUGAUUGAGUGGAUUGGAUCGGGAUUUCAAGUAGAAUCAAGUUCCUGAUGAUGAAUUGUAGAAUUAGUGAAUUAGGGUUUAUGUUCUGUUCUUCCCCAAAUUGAAAUUAGGGUUUCAGUGGAAUUGAAAAGAGAAGUUAGCUAUUCAGAGGAUGCUGAUUCUUGGGUAAGACUUCAGUUUCGUUUAAGAUUGAUAUUUUAGUUUAAAUUGUUUAGAUUAUUGAACUUCUAUGUUUGUGUUUGAGACUGAAGUUAAGUUGAGUAAACCAUGGAGUUGUAGUUAUUUGUUAGGAUUGUUUUAGAUCGCAAGGAGGAAGGAAGGAUGGUGUUAUUACUGAAUCUUGAAUAGAGUUAAGAUUAGAUGAAUGUUUAGGAUGCUGCCAUAAGAAUGGAUAUUACAGUAUUGUUGUUUGAUUUAAGAAGUUGCAAUUAUUGGACUGGUGGUAAUGCAACUGAGGUUAUAGGUCAUUGUAGAUGAAAGUUGUUCAAGUUAAUAUGUUGUUGAGUAGUGACCAGGUGGAGGUGAUAAUUGUGUUAGUAAUGAAGUGUGUGUAGUAUUGUAAUGGUGAUUGUUCAGAAUGGUGUUCUGGUAUGUUGAAUGUGUGGUCCUUGAGUAAACUGAGUGUAGAUGAAAGAAUUGUUUGAGGUAUAUGAAACUGCAGUUAUGGUGGUGUUGGUUGAAUUGUGUUGUUGAGUUGCGGUUAAAUGGUGGAGGAAUUAGACGCAGGGGAGAUUGAUUUGGUAUUGUGUGGAUUACAGGGAGGAGGAAUGAGAUUGUUAAUGUGGAGUCUUAAAUGGAUUGAAGUUCUUUUAGAUGAUUGUUAGGAUUUCACAUAGAUUGUAAUGCAGAUAUAAGUUAAGAUGUGGUGGAAUUGUGUUGGGAUUUAACUGAAGUUAGUUGUACUGGAAUUGGAGCUGUGUUUGAAUCAGCUGUGUGAGUUUGAUGAUGAGUGUUGCUUAACUGAGAACAAUAGUAAUUGUAAAGCUGUUUUGGCAGUGGCCUUAGUGAAAGCCUGCAACUGCAGAUUAAGACUCUAUUAACAACGAUCGAUUCAAAGGACGAACCAGUGGAUCGUGGAUCUCAAGGUAGGCGUGGCUUGUCAUCAAAAGAGGGCACCCCUUCUAUGGAUGAUGUGCUCACCCUUUUCCACUUCCAGUUUUAGAGAUAGAUCAGAGUUGCGCAGCGAAAGCUUCGAGGAGUUGACUUCGUUAAUUAGUUGGUUAACUUCUGCUAUGUUAUUAUGUGGUAUAUUAUAUUUGUAAAUUAAAUGACUAUUGUAUAUGUAUCAUUUGAGAGGAGUUCUUGUAUACAUAUUUUAGAGCGGGGCUAGUUUCUGGGUUAAGUUUUGUAACAGAUUUUAUUAAUUAAAUGUUUAAGUAAUUGAUUUGGAUU